UACGGGAGGCAGCAGUGAGGAAUAUUGGUCAAUGGGCGCUAGCCUGAACCAGCCAAGUAGCGUGAAGGAUGACUGCCCUAUGGGUUGUAAACUUCUUUUAUAAGGGAAUAAAACGGGGAACGUGUUCCCCCUUGCAUGUACCUUACGAAUAAGGAUCGGCUAACUCCGUGCCAGCAGCCGCGGUAAUACGGAGGAUCCGAGCGUUAUCCGGAUUUAUUGGGUUUAAAGGGUGCGUAGGCGGAAUGAUCAGUCAGUUGUGAAAGUUUGAGGCUCAACCUUAAAAUUGCAUUUGAUACUGUCAUUCUUGAGUGUACAAGAGGUGGGCGGAAUUCGUGGUGUAGCGGUGAAAUGCUUAGAUAUCACGAAGAACUCCGAUUGCGAAGGCAGCUCACUGGGGUACAACUGACGCUGAGGCACGAAAGUGUGGGUAUCAAACAGGAUUAGAUACCCUGGUAGUCCACACAGUAAACGAUGAAUACUCGCUGUUUGCGAUAUACGGUAAGCGGCUAAGUGAAAGCGUUAAGUAUUCCACCUGGGGAGUACGCCGGCAACGGUGAAACUCAAAGGAAUUGACGG
rnacentral:rRNA from 1 species